UAACGUCUAUUAUAACAGUUUUUUUUAAAUAUGUGAUUUUUGUUUUGUUCAUGAAAAGCGUCUGUAAAGAGGGUCGAGACAACUGUAAAUGAGAAUAUACAUCGGUCAACGUGACUUCUAUUCAACAUCUAUGGUCGCAAUCCCAAGGUUCAUUGCGAUCCCAAGGUCCACUGCGGUUUUCCACGCGAUGCAGAACCUUUAGACACUGGAUUAAUGUUCUGGAUUAAGUCCAAUGUAUUUAUUGGAAAACAGUAGAGAAAUCUGCAAAUAAGUGGGUUGCAGACAUAAUUAUUUAUCUGUCUUCCAUACAUGUAGCAAAAGAAUGCAGAGGCCAUAUGAAUUCAUCUUGACUAAGGAACUCUUCACAGCACUGCAUCUGAACAGUCACAACCUCACAGAGCAGCACAACCACCCCACUCAGGAUCAGUGUUAUGGUGCCAUUUUGAAGCUGGAACCUCAUCUUGUGUACAGAAAAA